rnacentral:rRNA from 1 species
ACGGAAGGCAGCAGUGGGGAAUAUUGGACAAUGGGGGCAACCCUGAUCCAGCGACGCCGCGUGAGUGAAGAAGUAUUUCGGUAUGUAAAGCUCUAUCAGCAGGGAAGAAAAUGACGGUACCUGACUAAGAAGCCCCGGCUAACUACGUGCCAGCAGCCGCGGUAAUACGUAGGGGGCAAGCGUUAUCCGGAUUUACUGGGUGUAAAGGGAGCGUAGACGGCGAUGCAAGUCUGAAGUGAAAGCCCGCGGCUUAACUGCGGAACCGCUUUGGAAACUGUAUUGCUAGAGUGUCGGAGAGGUGAGUGGAAUUCCCAGUGUAGCGGUGAAAUGCGUAGAUAUUGGGAGGAACACCGGUGGCGAAGGCGGCUCACUGGACGAUAACUGACGUUGAUGCUCGAAAGCGUGGGGAGCAGACAGGAUUAGAUACCCUGGUA